rnacentral:rRNA from 1 species
UACGGGGGGGGCAAGCGUUGUCCGGAAUUAUUGGGCGUAAAGAGCUCGUAGGCGGUUCGUCGCGUCGGCUGUGAAAACCCGGAGCUCAACUCCGGGCCUGCAGUCGAUACGGGCGGACUUGAGUGUUGCAGGGGAGACUGGAAUUCCUGGUGUAGCGGUGAAAUGCGCAGAUAUCAGGAGGAACACCGGUGGCGAAGGCGGGUCUCUGGGCAACUACUGACGCUGAGGAGCGAAAGCGUGGGGAGCGAACAGG